rnacentral:rRNA from 1 species
UACGGGGGGGGCAAGCGUUGUUCGGAAUUACUGGGCGUAAAGGGCUCGUAGGUGGCCAACUAAGUCAGACGUGAAAUCCCCAGGCUCAACUUGGGAACUGCGUCUGAUACUGGAUGGCUUGAAUUCGGGAGAGGGAUGCAGAAUUCCAGGUGUAGCGGUGAAAUGCGUAGAUAUCUGGAGGAAUACCGGUGGCGAAGGCGGUUCUCUGGGCCUUACCUGACGCUGAGGAGCGAAAGCGUGGGGAGCGAACAGG